CAAGCAGCCGCAGCUGCUCCUCUCACUGUUCUGUGUUAAUUGCCUCGUUGGAGACGGAGGUGAGCGACGAGGGAUGUUGACGUCUCUGAACGUCGCUGCUCAGCUGAUUUCAAGCCGAUGGAGCCGUUACCCAGGAUAAAUCAGGCUUGUCGGAGUGACAGGUGUUUGUCUAACUGCUAUAAACAUCUCUGACUCCAUCUCCUCGCGGAUUAUUUACAGGGCCGCGGCCUCUCACUCUGGACCCGUUGACUCUCCGCGGCUCUAAUAUCAGCCGUGAGCUGCCUGCUGAUUUACACACGCUGGCAGCGAAGCACAGAGGCCUCCAGAGAUGGUGCCCUCUACCCCUCGCCUCCUCCUCUCCUGGUUUCUCCGCUCUCCAUCGCCUUCCCACCGCCACCGCCGGCCGUCUCUCCUUGUGCCGGAGCGUCUCUGAGUAAAGAGCUCCCUCCGCCCGCGUGCUCAGCGCAGGGGAACUGCCUUCACGCCGAUCCACACUCCGGAAGAUGAGAAGCUGUCGCUCGCCUUGCUACAGUGAUUACGCCCCUCGCCGGUAAUUGCUACAUCCAUGCACCGGAAGGCGACAGCGCGUGCG
rnacentral:lncRNA from 1 species